UGCUUGUUUAGCUCAGUUGGUAGAGCAUCGCUCUAGUAAAGCGGAGGUCGCUGGUUCAAGUCCAGUAACAAGCAUC
rnacentral:tRNA from 1 species